GAAGGGAAUGACUGUGUUGUGUGCGUGCGAAACCUUUCGACGCCAUCUUAGCUGAGGCGGCUUUGUUUAGAAAGCGUGUUUAACUUUCGUUUCAUGUCGGAUCAAUUAACAACGGCAACGUAGUGACACAUAUGAGACUCAAGAUAAAGGCUUAGUGAUGAAGAGUAGCACAUCAUCUGCAAAGAGACAUAUCUUAUGAGAGCCUGUUGUAGUGAAAUACCCAGGGAAACCUUCUGUAUUGCAACCAAUUACUGCUUCUACUACAGAGACAAGAAUGAGAAAAUGAAGACUAAAUUGUUGGUAUUAGUUUCUGCAGAGCACAUCACUAGUCAUGAGGGUUAGACAGAGACAGAGAGAUCUCUGCAAGUGUCCUGAAAUGGGGACCCCAUUCCCAUAUGUCUUCCCCCACAGGUUCUUCUUCUCCAAAACCUCCAGAGCUGCUG